rnacentral:tRNA from 1 species
GGAGAAGUGUCCGAGUGGUUGAAGGAGCACGCCUGGAAAGUGUGUAUACGUUUAUAGCGUAUCGAGGGUUCGAAUCCCUCCUUCUCCGCCA